GUAACGGUGUUUCAUUACUGCAAUAGUAACCCUAACUAGGACAGAAAUUGGUACCAGGAUUGGGGCAUUGCUGUGAAAACCUGACCAUGUGUUUUUUGGAGGAUUGUGGAAGGACUUUGGAACUGAGGACUAGAAAAAGCACUGAAUGUUCAAAGCUUGGUGAGCUGUUGUGUGAGAGCCUGGAGCAGAUAAGAAUGUUGAGAGGAAUGCAGAUGAUGGAGGCCUGGCCUAUGAAAUUCCCCAGGGAAGUUUGAGUCACUUAAAAACUCUGUUGGAGCCAUUGCAUAUUUUGAGUUAAAAAUCUGUGGUUCUGGUCAGCUGAUGCUAAAGAAUCAGCUGUGAUUAACAAAAGUCCAGCACCAUUAAAGCAAAACCUUUGUGUUACUGGGACAGUUGAUAUCGGUCAGCUGGAGCUGAGAAAUUAUCGAUGAUUAAGAAGAGACCAGCAUCACUGAGAUGGAAUCUUCUAGCAAGUGUUUCCUGAGAGUCAGCACACAGAACCCGUGUUCAGAGCUGGCCAAGGUUGUACCAUAUGCUGGCAUCUGAACUUGGUCAUUUGUAAGAGUUGUCCAGGUGGUUCUGGUUAAUUUUUGAAGGCAUGAGGUGUCAUGGAGAACGGCUGAGGCUUGGCACUGUGUGGAAGGGCUGGAGCCUCUGAAGGGAACUCAGGAGAGAGGCUAUUGGUGAGACCGCAGCAUUUUGGAGAUGCCAAUGCGGUGGGACAAGCACCAAGAACAGUAGCAGUGGUGGAGUGGAGCCAGCAGGAGCCCAGAAGACAAGCUGUGUGCACUGCAGCAGGUGGGGCUGGAGAAUGGACCCAGGCCCUUUGGAGGAGUCGGAAAAUGCAUGGUCACCUCCACUUGAGCAAAGAGAGGAAGAGACUGGUUUGAAGCCACAUGGUUGGAGAGCUAUUGAAAUUCAGCUGAGCAAGUGAUUGUCUAGGAUCCCAGCCCACUGAAUCUUGUCACUCAGAUUUAGUUGGGUGUCUUUCCUCCUUGGUUUAACCUUUCUUGAUGCACCCCCAGAGAUGUAUCUCCAGUGUGAUUUGAAGACCCACCAUGUUGACAUCAAAAUCAAACAUUGCAAUUAUUUAGAGAUGGGAGAUAUGGGAUCCUGAUUUGGAAGAAGAAUGAACAUGUAAUGUUCCUUGACAUUGCCAAGUUCCUCCCAAGGGAGUGCAACUCUUUCCAUUCCCCCCAGUGAGGCAGAAGAAUGCCAUUUCCCCACAGUCUUACCAAGAAAAUUUAUUGUCGAACUUCUGGAUUUUUGCCAGUUGGAUUAUGAGAAAUGAAGUGCCCAGAGAAUUCUACAUUUUCUUCUAAUGAGGGGGAGCCACUCUUUUAUUUCUGCAACUGAGAUGAGCCCCUUCCACUAAUUUUUUGGCUUUUACUUUGAUAUAACUAGUUAUAUCUGGGUUUUUGCUUUGCAGUGUCAGCUAUGGUCUCUUUGGCCAGCAGGGGUCAUGAGGGGUAUCUUGGGGACCCUUCUUAUGGCUUUAAUUUUGACUUUGUUCACUGGGUCUUAGAAGGUGAAGAUCAGCUCCAAGGAUCAUGAGGGUUUGGUCCUCACUUUCCAUCCUGUUUAAGACAGUCUCUUGGGGCUCAUCUCUGUGAUACCAGACUAGCUCACCUAUGAGUUUCUGCAGCUUCUCCCGUGUCUUCCCCCUAUAUGCCCCCAAAAGUGCUGGGAUUACAUAUGUGUGCAUGUGUCUUUCUUUUGCACGGGUUCUAGGGCUCCAGACUGGGGUUGUCAGGUUGUAUGGCAAAUGCUUUAACCACCCAGCUAUGCUACCCCUCCCCUGUCCUCCUUUUCUAGGAUUUUGAGAGACAAAAGAUGAUUGAUUUGAGACUCCUGUUCUUCAGCGUAGGAUUCCAUUUCAAUCAUCUCUCAGGAUUUCUUUAGUUGUAUCCCACAAAAUCUGAUAUGUUUUAUUUCCUUUUUCUUUAAGUUCAAUGGGCU
ensembl:lncRNA